UCCUCACCAGAGCCCUGAACACUGCAGGCGGAGACAUGCUGGGUUUUAUCACCCUCCUUCUCACCACCCUGCUCCCUACUGUCCAGACUGCACUCAUUCUGGACCAGCCCAUGCUCUCCAUCACCCAAAAGGCUGGAACUUCUGCAACAUUUCCCUGUGAGCUUUCUGACAGAAGCUUCAGGUACAUCCACUGGUAUCGUCAGCAGCCUGGGAAAGCUCCCCAGCGCCUUCUAUACUGUAACAUGGACACGUCUGCAGUCACCCUGGAAUCAGGAUUCAACAUAAACAAAAUCCACGCUUACAAGUCAAGUGAUCAAAGCUGCUACCUGUUGGUCCAGAAACUGGACAGGAAUGACGCCGGCUUCUAUUACUGUGCCAGCUGGGUCUCCACGGUGACACAGUCUCCUCCGCCCCUCGUACAAAAAGUCACUGUCCUUAGUCACGAGGAACAGGGUCUGAAUCCCCACAGCUCCAGCAUUGAAUCUCACCUCCUUUUUCAGGCUCCCUGGCAAACUAAUGGUGGCCACCACAUGUCCAAACUGCAGCUCUUUCUCUGA